rnacentral:pre_miRNA from 1 species
GAAUUCAACUAAAAAAGUCAUCAAUAACAAAGUGGUAUAACUCAUCAAAAUCUAUAACUUUUAUUUGGGUCAUUUCUUCAUCCGACAAAAUGAUUUAUAACAUUGUUCACAAAAUGUACAUAUCUCUUAUAUAGUUUUAUAAACUAUAAGAGAGAUAUGUAAAUUUUAUGAUAAUGUUAUUAUCGCUUUGUCGGAUGAAGAAAUGAUCAAAAUAGAAGUUAUAAAUCUUGAUGAGUUAUACAACUUUAUUGUUGAUGACUUUUUCAGUUGAAACC